rnacentral:lncRNA from 1 species
GGCAAUCAGGUUAGGUUCUGUUGUGGGGCUUGUAUGGCUUGUUUUUUUUAAUAUUCGCAGUAAAGCUUGCUGCUGCUACUCAUUUGAGUCCGCAGUGCUUUCAUUUGAGUCAGCUGUACCACUGACUGCAGAGGUUUGCUGCUUCACUAUUGAGGCCAACGGGAGUACGAACUCACUGAGAGGAAUGAACAACUGUGGACGCGCGGCCUUGAGAGCUGUAACACCGCGAAGGUCUGCAGCUUCACUCGUGAAACCAACAAGACCACGAACCCAGCAGAAGGAAAAACUACGAACCCUUUCGAACAUCAGAAAUAACAAACUCUGGUCACACUAUCUUUAAGAAUUGUAACAGUCACUGUGAGGGUCCGCAGUUUCAUUCUUGAUGUCAGUGAAACCAAGAACCCACCAAUUCCGGACACAGCACCAGGUCCAGAUUGGCAAGAAAGGACCCUGGGCUUGCUCAACCGAGAGGGACAGGAGAACUGGGAGGGCAGCCUUAAGGAAGGGUGUGACCCAGAGGCUGGGCCAGGGGGCGGAACCAUGAAGGACGAGCGUAAUGCCUGGCUCCUUCCACCUCUGUUCAUCACCACUCUUUUUGCUGUGAUUCCAACAACAUUUCCUAUACGUGAAAACAUUUUGAGGGAAGACUCACGAGAAUCGUUUCACGAACUUAUAAGCAAGAGUUCAGAGAAGUCCCAACGUAGAAAGUGGAAUUCAUGGUGGAUUCUUUUGAUGGGGAUUUUCCUGCUUUGAAAGGAAAUAAUAGGACGUUUUCAAUGUGGAACAAGGCUGAGGUUCUGACUGCUGGCCUAAAAGAACCAGGAUUCCCCCAGUUGGACUCUCACAUACCUGUGGACCUCAAGUGCUCCUUCAUAUGUGUUUUCAAUGAACUUCAUCCAAACCACAUCAAAUGGCUGUGUAUAACACUAAGGAAAUGUCAUAUUGUCUCCUAGUCCUCUACCAUGUCUUUUACACACACUGAAGAUCAUGUGAAGAAAGAGAGAAGAUGGUCAUCUAUACACCAAGUUAAACGACCCUCAGAAGAAACCAACCCUAUGGACAACUUGAUCUUGAACUUCUAGCUUUCAGACCUGUGAGAAAAUAAAUUGCUGUUGUUUAA